GGAUGAACGCUAGCUACAGGCUUAACACAUGCAAGUCAGGGGCAGCAUGGGAUAGCUUGCUAUUCAGAUGGCGACCGGCGCACGGGUGAGUAACGCGUAUCCAACCUUCCUGCCACGUAGGGAACAGCCCGGCGAAAGUCGGAUUAAUGCCCUAUGUUCUUCAAUGCGGACAUCUAAGUUGAAGGAAAGAUUCAUCGCUGGCAGAUGGGGAUGCGUCCGAUUAGCUUGCCGGCGGGGUAACGGCCCACCGGGGCGACGAUCGGUAGGGGUUCUGAGAGGAAGGUCCCCCACACUGGUACUGAGACACGGACCAGACUCCUACGGGAGGCAGCAGUGAGGAAUAUUGGUCAAUGGGCGUAAGCCUGAACCAGCCAAGUAGCGUGCAAGGAUGACGGCCCUACGGGUUGUAAACUGCUUUUAUGCGGGGAUAAAGUGCGGCACGUGUGCCGCUUUGCAGGUACCGCAUGAAUAAGGACCGGCUAAUUCCGUGCCAGCCGCCGC
rnacentral:rRNA from 1 species